rnacentral:lncRNA from 1 species
AUAAAACCUCUGCCUAGGAACUGACGAUGUAGCUCAGUCCUGAUCCAGAUUGGUUCUCCAACCUCGGAGGUUGCCCAAUCCUGGAGCACCAAGAGAGCACUUACGUUCUUAUCAUGGACAUUUUAGGGGCAGUUUCUAUGGGCUGGGAGCACCCUGACUGCCAUUCCUCUGGAUCCCUUGUCUUUUCCCUAUCCCUGGGAUGCUGUGUGUGUGGACAAAAGUUCUGAUGAUGACUCCGCUGGUGCUAAAUUCCCUGGUGGCUGCAGGCAGAGAAAGCCCAGGUCAUCAGCUGUUUUUUCUCAGCACCUUCCAUCUUUGGCUCGGUACCUGAAACAACCUCCAAAAUGACCUUCAGGCCCUUAUGACAUUUUUGUAAGCAACAGAGAGAAGAUUCCUCUCCUCAUUGGAUAAUCCUGCUCCUUGCUCACUUACAGACUUCAUGCAGGUUGCCAUGUUAUAUCUCUCAGCCUGCUCAGCCAAUUUGACCUUCUGCACCAGCUCAUUUUUAUCCAUGACUGAAUGUUCUGUGCCCAGAGUGAGCGGCAACUGAAGACAGAUGGACAGGGGAGGGGGCGCUUGAGUGAUCUCUGGGUGCCCACAGUGGCCAAACCUUCAAUUUCUUGAUGCUUGCAGCAGUACAACUGAAUGGGAUGUCCCAGUGAAGACUUCUCAGUGUAAUUAAGGUUUGGGAUAAGACUAUCCUAAAUCUGGUAAUAAGUUCAGGAGGUAGGAUAAGGGUUAAGUAUAAAUUUCUGUAAGUUCUUUUUUUUUAGUGCCAUGUAUCAGUAGUUAAAAUUUGUCUAGUUGUUAAGCCUUAGCCUACCUUUUAAUCUUAUUCAGAUGCACUUUUGCCCCUCCUCCUAAAAGAAUCUGGCUCCCGUUUGUCUACAGGCCCCAGAAAACCCUUAAACUUUCAGAUUCCUUAUCUACUCCCCUUAUCUUCCUUUGAAAGGACCUUACUCAGAUGCCUUCCAGUCCCCUCCAUUAUCUAUUCCCAUUGUCUGUUCAGUAUCUCUCAGAUCUCCCAAUACAUUUGUAAACUAUCUUUCUGUCAUGGUGGCCUGGCUCCACAGUACAAUGUCUAGCUUGACUGCACAUUUUUAAUUGCUUCUUGGACAUUAUCUCAACAAACUGAGAAAUACAGAGAGAUUGUGAGCUGAGUGACGGACAACUAGUCGGAGGGGGAAUUUACCCGUCAGGGUUAUUUAGCCUGGCUUUCUGCUUCUGUGUCUUGUCUCCCCUCAUCAGAGUAUACUGGUGGACGGACACCCAAAUCUCAAGAUUUGAAAUAAUAAUAAUAAUAAUAAUAAUAAUAAUAAUAAUAAUAAUAU